rnacentral:rRNA from 1 species
GAUGAACGCUGGCGGCGUGCCUAAUACAUGCAAGUCGAGCGCGAGCGAUUGGAGCUUGCUCCAAUCAAUCGAGCGGCGGACGGGUGAGUAACACGUAGGCAACCUACCCAUCAGACUGGGAUAACCACGGGAAACCGUGGCUAAUACCGGAUGAUCCUUUGAGACACAAGUCUUAAAGUUGAAAGGCGCUUUUGGUGCCGUUGAUGGAUGGGCCUGCGGCGCAUUAGCUGGUUGGUGGGGUAACGGCCCACCAAGGCGACGAUGCGUAGCCGAGCUGAGAGGGUGAUCGGCCACACUGGGACUGAGACACGGCCCAGACUCCUACGGGAGGCAGCAGUAGGGAAUCUUCCGCAAUGGGCGAAAGCCUGACGGAGCAAUGCCGCGUGAGUGAAGAAGGCCUUCGGGUCGUAAAACUCUGUUAUAAGAGAAGAACAAAUUGUAGAGUAACUGCUACGGUCUUGACGGUAUCUUAUCAGAAAGCCACGGCUAACUACGUGCCAGCCGCCGCAGUAA